CAGGCAUAGAACGUCCUUUAACACCUCUGCAAUCGCUACGCGUUCACCAUUUUUUCCCCUUUCGACCUCUUUUCUCUACUCUUUCUCUUCUAUCCCUCUUUUUUCCUUUCUUUAUCUUCUAGUUUUACCAUUUCUUUAAUUUCUCUUCUACGUUAUUUUUACUUCGAUUCUUUUCUUUCGUCGCUAAAAUCCCGUUGGAGUUAACCAAGUAUGCGGCCACGCGAGUAAUUGAUCGCGCCAGUCGCGAGUCGGUGUGAAACUGUAACGAUACAUCGCGAUCUUCGCUCCGACGUCUCGAACGAGAAAACGUAAUAUAUCUGUCGAAAAUUUUCAAAGCCACUUUACUUCGAAUAUUUCUCUCGACGAAUCUUGCUCAGUCUCUUUCUCUCGUUUUUUCUGUAUCCGCUGAUCUUUUUGAUUAAGUACAAGCUGGUACAUUGUGUAAUUAAGAGCCGUUGAUCGCUUACGUGUGAAAUUGAAGGGCUGGCACGUCGAAGUUCGCACGAAACAGGUUUCGAAAGAGGUUGUUUGAAAGCUCCCGAAUAGUUGCCUGCUCUCUGAUCAACGUGUUUUAACUCGGAGCCUUUCUUUCAACGAAUAGUACGGUGAUUUCACGGCGAACCAAUGUGGUGAUUCGAUAGACGAUAAAAAGUUUUGUUUCGGAAGUAGAAAGUUUCGCCGGUUUAUAAAUUGGAAAAAAACACGUUGAAAAUAGCAAUCACCGAUCGAAAAUCGAUGGUAUCGUGAGCUUUUCUUUUUAAAUGAUUUUCAAAGUAGCUUUUCGUUCGCGACUGAUUAGAAAUUUGUUGGCGAACGAGCGUGGCUGGUCAUUUGUUAAAAGCGGCACAAAGCGUGCGCCAAAAACCGGGUCAUCCACUUCUCGCGAAAAAUCGAUACGAAAUGGUGGAACGCGAUUCCUGGUCUGACCACUGGUUGACUCGUUCCACUUGUCGCGCCGUGGAUAGUCAUUUUUCAAUGGCGAAUUUCGUGGUUCGCGUUGCAUUGGGUUGCGUUAGUUACGUCGCGCUUAAACCGAGUUUGCCAAUAUCGUGUCAUUAGACGACUCCAACGGUACGAAACGACGUUGAACGAUCGGCAAGAAUGAAUCGUCGUCGAAGGAAACAAGACGUUUCGUUCGAGAUAAUCCGAUUCUUCGAUGAAAAAUAUUCCUAGAGAUCGUAUAGAUAUUACUAUCCCUAAUUGUUUCCUACGUUUAUAUUUUGUCACCGCCAUAUUCUUCACGCUCCAAUUUUUUUACUUUACUUACUCUCUUCUACGAAGAGUUACCAUUUCUCUUCUCAUCCUUUGUUCGGACGAAUUAAAAUUCUUUUUAUCGUUUUAUUUAUUGGAUAUCUUUCAACGACGGAUGCGAACUCUUCGAAGAUCAUUCUUCUGGAGCCAAUUCGUGGAUCGAAUCAGGUGCACAUGACAGUGAAAUAAUCGUCGUUAGAAAGCGAGACGUUGUAAGUCGGUCUCGAAUAAAAUUCCGUCGAAGCCAGCUGUAUCUAUUUGAUCGAGAAGUUCCAAUGCGAUACGAUUCGCGAGCAAGGCGACGUUCUCUACCUGUUGCACGUUGCUUUCAUAGGAAAUUGCCUUACCGACAUAUUGAACAUUGUCAUUCCUGUCUAUGGAUGGUAAUCCUGUGCAGAAACGUGCCACUGUGGGAUUACGACGCCUUCUUUUUGUCUUUUUUCAUCGUUAUCGGCCUCGUAUGCGCGAUAAAGUCACUCGUUGUUCUCAUCUGUAAACGCAUUUGUUCAGUGCGGUGCAAUUUAUCAACGCACUCUUCCUUUAGAGCUUAUUAUCGCGCCUGAUAUUUCCCCAUGUCUGACGGAAGAUCGUUUACCGUUCCGUAAAUGGUAUGCAGACAAUAUUUACGAAGCUUUUGCUUUCCCUUUCCUUUAAUCUCAUCUCUUAUCUUAUCUCUUUAAAAAAAAGAUCUUGCUACAAGGGGGAAAAACGUAACGGGGUAGUUCUUGGAUAUUCGUAGAAUUAAUUUUCUCGUAGUUCGGUGUAGCAACGAUAGGAAAAGUAUUUCAAUCAAGGGAAAGAAGUCGUAGAAACGAUGCACCGCGAAAUUGGUUCGUAUUGCUUUGUUAUUUUGAUCGUUUCUAAUGAAAUCUCGUAUUAUCCUAUUCGAGGUUUUAAUCUGGAGAGAAAAAUUAUUCGUUCGUUGGAAUUAAAAUUCCGGAAUGCAAUAUUAAAGUCGGUAAUUUUCGAUUUCUUUAAACUCUGGAUUACUAAACAGCCGAGAAAGAUUCUCACGAGGAAAAGAAUAGAUGGCUCGUACCAUAGCUACACACGUUUCGUUCUGAUAAACGUGGAUCGCGUCGAGGAAAUUAAUUCCGCUUCGUAGAAGGAUACUAAGUGUCUACCUGUUGCACCACGCUGCCAGACGAAACGGUCUCGAUCGUUUUUGGAGAAUCGCGAAAGUGAAGGAGAAAUACAGAGAAAGAAAGAGGAGGAGAGAACGACAGCACUUGGCGAAUGAAAAAUUUUACGCGUCUACGCGUACGAAGAAACCUGCUGGUACGUCGUUGCCUUCGCAACUUGUUGCUAGUCGUUCAGAGAUCUCUCCACUUCUCGAUUCCCGGUGCUGCUUCCUGCACACAGGUGCUGUAAUGGGAGAAAAUUCUCGUCGUUUCCGUGACACUGAUCUUUCUACGAUGGAUCCAUUAACGCCAGCGUGGUAUUUUCAAGAUACGUUCCUGUUUCCCUUCGACGAUGGAAGCCUCGCCUCUAGAACGAUUCUAAUUGUAUAGCAAUUAUGGUUUGUACAUGGCAGCGCGAAGCAGAAUCACCACUGGAGUAUUAAAUCGGUCCAUGCGUAAUAGCUGCCGGUGACCAAAUCGAUAUUCCUCGAACAACUUCUCAUCCCAAUGGUCGAUAGCCGCGUUACGCUCAAUCGGCGCAUAACGACAGCUGUGCCGCGUUUUCGUCUUGGGAACCUGUGGGGCCGCUAUUAACGACGAGAUUAUGGUGCGUAGUGCGUAGGGCUCGCAAGGUGCAACCAGGGCCUUGCCAUCUGCUCGUGCACGUGGCCCUGGCACGUGCCACCAGCUGAUAAUAGCGCCUUCGAUCCCGUCGCCGCCGCGCCGCGACGACACGAGCACUCGUGCUACGUGCCCAACAUUUCAAGCGGUGGCUGUUUAGGCGAUAACGAAAUUUUCGGCCUGCACGUAUGCUGCUCGAUUAUAUCGAAUAUCGUGCAAACCGCCUUGGUUAAACGAUUUAAUUUUAUCACGUCCUUUUUUCUCUUUUCGAAAAGACAUCGGGGACACUAUCGCGAGGAAUCGUUUCGGGGAAGUUCGAAGCAGCGAAAGAAAUAUCAUCAGCCGCAAAUGCCUAUACCUGUAUGGAAUAGAAUCGCGAAAGAAGACAAAAAAUUCGCGAUUUUCGCAAACGUAUCGCGCGAUUGAUCAAAUUUCCCCGUUGUUUGAUUUUAUCAAGAAUAAAUUCGUCUUGCAUAUUUGUCUCCGGCACGCGAUAGUCUUUUCAAAUAUUAACACUUUAUCGCCAACUAUUCGCUCCACAAGCGAUAAGCGUCAAGCGAUAGAUUUAGAUUCGAUAGAUUUAGAUUACGACCAAAUUCAUAUCGUACAUGGUUAUCGUUAUGGUGCUAAUCGUUUGUCUGAAAAAGUGACUGGCCUUACAGUCACAAGCACCGACGAUCUAUGCGAACUGUUGCAAAACCUCGUGGGAUCGAUUUUGAAGAAUUAAAAUACACGGUUCUUUGGAAAACGGCUGGUUAAAUUCGAUUCGAGGAAAUUACGAGACUUAUCGAUCGUACUUAGGGGUGAAAGAAAAUCAAAAUAAAGGACAGGAGGAACACGGUGUUUCUCGGUCCCGGGAGGAGCAGGACGAUGAACGUCGCGCAAAUCGUCCGUAGGAAAAGGCAGAAACGGCGUCGACCCCGUAAAAUGAAAUUCAUCGCUUAACCCCGUGGAGUCUUCUCCGCUGUAUGACGGCGGGGCCGAAAGGUGUGCUAAGGUUACUUUGCGCUUUCUACGUUUCAUUCCCCUGGCUUAGCAUACGUGUAAGGUCGUGGAAGCUCGGUUACCCUGAGUUACGGCCGCAUAAUCCAGCUCCCCGUGGCAUUUCCCUUGCAUCCAUCCGCGCUUCCCCUUCAAUUCAUCUCAGGCCCAUCCCCGUGCAACUUUAACGUCACGAGGUCAUCGUAAAACGCAUCGCUAUUCCGCCGAAGGCUGAGCUGCGACGCGAAUCCAGUCGCACCGCCUCUUACCCGUUUUUACACGUAAUUUUCAGUCUCGGAUCGUUAAUAGGGGCGUGUACCACGAAAAACUAAAGGAAGUUCGCGUAGGAAAAGAAAUAGCUUUCGUUCUUUUGCUACGACAUGCGCGUACAGAGUUAAUCGCGCGGUUAUCUCGUUUCAUUUCUUUCCAAAAAGACGUAAUAGUCGUUUCUCGAGUCCAGUCUAAAUUCCGCUCGUCCUGUAACGGCGCGCGGAGAAGGACGAAACCCUGCGAGCACCGUGUUCCAAGUCCACCGGAAUGUCUUGUAACCAGGCAAUUAUCGCAUUCGUCGACGCGUGGUCCGUUUUGACGCGCAUUCGAGCAAGGGUGGUAGGAAAUUUCUGGCGGACAACAGCUGUCGGGUCACCUGUUCAAACAGCCGUAUUUCGCGGCGCUGUAAAAUCGCCUCGUGCCAUGGUGAGGCCAGGUGAGGGCCGCGUUGCGGGCAUCGAGUGGCGUUCGAUAUUAUCGGAAAGUCCCAGUCAGGGUGACGAACGUCCUAGGAAAUUUCCACGCUGCUUUCUCCCUACCACUAAGUCGAAUUUACGAUCCGUAUACUGUACAGGACAUUACAGAAAAAGGACGCGAGGUCUUACGAGCUUAGGGAAUUCAUCAAGGAGAUAAAAAGUGUCUAAUCAAAGUAUAUACUAAAAUCGACCUUUUCAAUAUCGUAUUCAAUUUCGCGUUCACCAAGUUUAGAAAUUUCAUUUUACUAGUUUCUCGUUAAGGCAUCGUCUCUUUGGCCAUUUGUUCUUCACGGUAAGAUUACGAAACAUUAGACGAAACGAAAUAUCCGGUGAUACAUCGUUCCGACUUUUGAUACGAUAGAAGGGCGUUCCACUUAAAACCAUAGUAAUUGACUUUGAAAUUAUGCUUGACCUACUAUUCCCCAUAUGCGAACCCCAUUCACCAUAUGUUCAAGUUCAAGCACUGCCACUUAAACUACGCUUACGUUCGAAGGCACGUCCAUUUACAAAAAUAAAACGUCUGCGCGUUUAUUCGCGUUAAUUUAACUCACCACGGUACAGACUAUAUGUUACGCAUAGUUUCGAGAAGCACGAUACACGAUCUCUAACCGAAAUAACACACUUUACGGACACAGGGUAUGUAGCAGGAAGAUUAUUAUCGGAUAUUUAUGCGAAGAAGUCAGAGGGCACUGUUGUGCCAUAAUCUCGACGUGUUUAAAUUUGCUACAAGCGCACGUUUAGCUAGAUAAAUAUCCCCAAAAAUACGAUUACUAUCGAUUUUAUCGAGCGCGUUCCGUUUCGUUCCAUUCCGUUCUUCGAAAUACAUACGUAGCUAUGAAAGUCGAAUCAAUCGCAACGAUCGCAUCGAUAUCAAGAAAUAAAUUGCGCCCGAAAACGCUUGCAUCAGCGUUCGUUUACGUUAUCACGGUUGUAGAAUGGAAUGCGCGUGUCAGGAGCCGCAUAAAUUUCAAUUAGAUAAUCCAAAAGUCACGUUUAAGGUUUGCAGCGGGCGCGCCAGUCCUAAAAUAACAGGGCAAAAGGAGGCGUCGUUGAUACCCGCAGGCUGAAUCCGAAAAGAGGGGCUUCGUCGUCGCUCGAAAUUCAAUUCUGCGGGCAUUAUAAAUAAGCGUGAGCGCCGGAAACUCGGUCGAUCGACGAUUAUGAAUCAGCCAUUGAUGACGAUGGCUAGCAGCUUCGUCAUGCCGUCGUUAAUAUCAAUGUGUCUUUCCCCGCGCGAUGACUCAAGAGAUCUAUGGAUGAAGUUAACCCGAGGAAAACGAACUGCUAGAUUUCCCCUUGUUUCGUUUUACUCACGAAAGAUGGAAGAUAACUGUUGGAAAUAUCAAUUCGGCCAUCUUAGAUACAAAUACGAUGAUUAUUUCCAGUCUGUUCCAAUUUAGAAUAGGAAUAAUAAUGAAAAGCAACGGAAGCAAAAAAACAAAAGGAUAGUACACCGGAAAGUUAAUCCGCUGCAAGUUAAGAUUCGUUUAAUACAAAAAUGAUGCAAAUAAAUUCGCAACGAACUUGCUAAACCUCUUUCCAAGUUAAUCGCUCUCCCUUCCCCCCGUGUACUUAAAC